GAACGAACACUGGCGGCGUGCCUAAUACAUGCAAGUCGCACGGGAAAAUGCCCUUCGGGGCAUAAGUACAGUGGCAAACGGGUGCGUAACACGUAAGCAACCUUCCCUUUAGUUGGGGAUAACUCUACUAACGUGGAGCUAAUACCGAAUAGCGUUGCGUCGCCGCAUGGCGAUGCAAUAAAAGAACUUCGGUUCGCUAAGGGUGGGGCUUGCGGCCUAUUAGCUAGUUGGCGGGGUAACGGCCCACCAAGGCUUUGAUAGGUAGCCGGCUUGAGAGAGUGGCCGGCCACAUUGGGACUGAGAUACGGCCCAAACUCCUACGGGAGGCAGCAGUAGGGAAUCUUGCGCAAUGGGCGAAAGCCUGACGCAGCAACGCCGCGUGAGUGAUGAAGGUCUUCGGACUGUAAAGCUCUGUCGGGAGGGAAUAAACUGCCGGGGUAAUCCCCGGCAUUGACGGUACCUCCAAAGGAAGCUCCGGCUAACUUCGUGCCAGCAGCCGCGGUAAUACGAGGGGAGCUAGUGUUGUUCGGAUUUACUGGGCGUAAAGGGAGUGUAGGCGGAAGCCUAAGUCAGAGGUGAAAUUUUAGGGCUUAACCCUAAACCUGCCUCUGAUACUGGGUUUCUUGAGUAUGGAAGAGGGCGAUGGAAUUCCUGGUGUAGCGGUGGAAUGCGUAGAUAUCAGGAGGAACACCGAUAGCGAAGGCAGUCGCCUGGUACAAUACUGACGCUGAAACUCGAAAGCGUGGGGAGCAAACAGGAUUAGAUACCCUGGUAGUGCACGCUGUAAACGAUGGAUACUAGAUAUCGGGAGCCUCAACUCUUCCGGUGUCGUAGCUAACGCGUUAAGUAUCCCGCCUGGGGAGUACGGCCGCAAGACUGAAACUCAAAGAAAUUGACGGGGGCCCGCACAAGCGGUGGAGCAUGUGGUUUAAUUCGAUGGUACGCGAAGAACCUUACCUGGGCUUGACAUGGGGAUGCCGGGUGCAGAGAUGUGCCUUUCCCUUCGGGGACGUCCCACACAGGUGCUGCAUGGCUGUCGUCAGCUCGUGUCGUGAGAUGUUGGGUUAAGUCCCGCAACGAGCGCAACCCUUGUCCUGUGUUACCAGCGGGUAAAGCCGGGGACUCACGGGAGACUGCCUCGAUUUUAAGAGGAGGAAGGUGGGGACGACGUCAAGUCAUCAUGGCUUUUACGUCCAGGGCUACACACGUGCUACAAUGGCCGGUACAGAGGGUCGCAAUACCGUAAGGUGGAGCUAAUCUCAAAAAGCCGGUCUCAGUUCGGAUUGGAGUCUGCAAUUCGACUUCAUGAAGUUGGAAUCGCUAGUAAUCGCGGAUCAGCAAUGCCGCGGUGAAUACGUUAUCGGGCCUUGUACUCACCG
rnacentral:rRNA from 1 species